AUGCGCCUCGCCUCCUGCUUCCUGCGCCUCCGAACAGCCCUGUUCCCCGUGCGGGUUCAGAAGACGCGCUCAUCUUCCCGUUGUCGCGCGGGUGGUCGAUCAUCGUCGAUGCUCGCGACGCAUCCUGCCGCCUCUCUUGCCCUGCGACGGGCGCAACGGUUGCUCUGCCCAAGAUCAACGCCGUCCGCGGCAGGAGCGCCGCACCCGGCGACAUCACGCAUGUCAAGCAAGUACGUGCAUCAUACCGACGAAGAAAGCGCGUCCUGGUUUCCGGGGGACAAGAUCAAGAUCGAACGCCCCGCCUGCGGCUACAUGAUUUUCUUCGGAAAUUACCUUGACUUCACGGAUUACUUCCGCUUCGCCGUCCACUCCCCGGCGGCAAGCGCGGCGGACGACAUGAUGAUCAUGAUGUGCCACAUGUGGCUGCUGGGCAGAAAGACCAUCGUGCUCUGCCGGCCUGGUGACGCCGCCUGGACGAAGCUGGGAGAUUGCCCGUCUUUCAGCUUAUGUUUCGUCGACGUCGCCUACUUCCGAGGAAGGAUCUACGGCCUAGAAAGCGACGGCUCCACGGCGGUGUUCGACGGCGCCACGCUCGAGUUCCUCCACUCGGUCCAUGUGCCAUGCGCGACGUUGAAGCCUUGCACCGUGGUAGAGGAGGACUCUCCACAUGACUUCGAUCGCAUCAAUCUCGUUGCCUUGCCAGGCAAGCUGCUUUUGAUCAGUACUAGGGUCAAGUCGCUCGAGGCAGAGGGUUUCGCCAUCUUCGAGUUAACCUCUAGCUCUAGGCCCGAGGAUGGUGGUCUCUCUUGUUGGCGCAAGGUAGUUCGGGGCGGCAUCGGUGGUAACUACGAUAUCUUCAUGGACUGCUACCACACCGCAUUUACCCAUGUAAGACAAUAA
rnacentral:rRNA from 1 species